GAUGAACGCUGGCGGCGUGCCUAAUACAUGCAAGUCGAACGCGCCGACGAGGGAAUUGGUUCCUUUCAGCGCGCGUCGCGCGCGGGUGAGACACACGUAGGAAACCCAUCCUUCAGCGGGGGAUAACCGUCAGAAAGGAUCAAAAAUACCACAAUGUUGUGCCCGUCGCAUGGCUGGAGUGGGAAACGCGGCUUCGGCUGUCACUGAAGGAUUGUCCCCUGGUGCAUUAGCUAGACGGUGGGGUAACGGCCUACCGUGGCGUUGAUGCAUAGCCGACCUGGGAGGGUGAUCGGCCACAUUGGGACUGAGACACGGUCCAAACUCCUACGGGAGGCAGCAGUAGGGAAUCUUCCGCAAUGGACGAAAGUCUGACGGAGCAACGCCGCGUGUGUGAAGAAGGUCUUCGGAUCGUAAAGCACUGUUAUCAGGGAAGAACAGCUUUGGGAGUAACUGUUGUAGGUUUGACGGUAACUGAUCAGAAAGCCACGGCUAACUACGUG
rnacentral:rRNA from 1 species